CUUGGAUUCCGCCCUUGGCAACCGUUCUGCCGCGGCGCUCUGGCCUGCGGAGGCUCUGAGUAGAUUCGCGCAAACCGCCACUUCCCUGGGCUCCAGUCGCACUCACCCCACUGCUCUCAGCGAGAGGCACAAAUGAUGCAAAAUGUGCACCUGGCUCCAGAGACAGAUGAUGAUGAUCUUUAUUCUGGUUAUAAUGACUACAAUCCAAUCUAUGAUACUGAGGAUUGGAGAAUGAUACAGGUUUUCAGCAAGCAGUAAGAACAAGUCAUGGCAGAAGACCUCCUGUA